rnacentral:rRNA from 1 species
GACGAACGCUGGCGGCGUGCCUAAUACAUGCAAGUAGAACGCUGAAGAGAGGAGCUUGCUCUUCUUGGAUGAGUUGCGAACGGGUGAGUAACGCGUAGGUAACCUGCCUUGUAGCGGGGGAUAACUAUUGGAAACGAUAGCUAAUACCGCAUAACAAUGGAUGACACAUGUCAUUUAUUUGAAAGGGGCAAAUGCUCCACUACAAGAUGGACCUGCGUUGUAUUAGCUAGUAGGUGAGGUAACGGCUCACCUAGGCGACGAUACAUAGCCGACCUGAGAGGGUGAUCGGCCACACUGGGACUGAGACACGGCCCAGACUCCUACGGGAGGCAGCAGUAGGGAAUCUUCGGCAAUGGGGGCAACCCUGACCGAGCAACGCCGCGUGAGUGAAGAAGGUUUUCGGAUCGUAAAGCUCUGUUGUAAGUCAAGAACGAGUGUGAGAGUGGAAAGUUCACACUGUGACGGUAGCUUACCAGAAAGGGACGGCUAACUACGUGCCAGCAGCCGCGGUAAUACGUAGGUCCCGAGCGUUGUCCGGAUUUAUUGGGCGUAAAGCGAGCGCAGGUGGUUUGAUAAGUCUGAAGUUAAAGGCUGUGGCUCAACCAUAGUUCGCUUUGGAAACUGUCAAACUUGAGUGCAGAAGGGGAGAGUGGAAUUCCAUGUGUAGCGGUGAAAUGCGUAGAUAUAUGGAGGAACACCGGUGGCGAAAGCGGCUCUCUGGUCUGUAACUGACGCUGAGGCUCGAAAGCGUGGGGAGCGAACAGGAUUAGAUACCCUGGUAGUCCACGCCGUAAACGAUGAGUGCUAGGUGUUGGAUCCUUUCCGGGAUUCAGUGCCGCAGCUAACGCAUUAAGCACUCCGCCUGGGGAGUACGACCGCAAGGUUGAAACUCAAAGGAAUUGACGGGGGCCCGCACAAGCGGUGGAGCAUGUGGUUUAAUUCGAAGCAACGCGAAGAACCUUACCAGGUCUUGACAUCCCGAUGCUAUUUCUAGAGAUAGAAAGUUACUUCGGUACAUCGGUGACAGGUGGUGCAUGGUUGUCGUCAGCUCGUGUCGUGAGAUGUUGGGUUAAGUCCCGCAACGAGCGCAACCCCUAUUGUUAGUUGCCAUCAUUCAGUUGGGCACUCUAGCGAGACUGCCGGUAAUAAACCGGAGGAAGGUGGGGAUGACGUCAAAUCAUCAUGCCCCUUAUGACCUGGGCUACACACGUGCUACAAUGGUUGGUACAACGAGUUGCGAGUCGGUGACGGCAAGCUAAUCUCUUAAAGCCAAUCUCAGUUCGGAUUGUAGGCUGCAACUCGCCUACAUGAAGUCGGAAUCGCUAGUAAUCGCGGAUCAGCACGCCGCGGUGAAUACGUUCCCGGGCCU